UACGUAGGGUGCAAGCGUUAAUCGGAAUUACUGGGCGUAAAGCGUGCGCAGGCGGCUCGGUAAGAAAGAUGUGAAAUCCCAGGGCUUAACCUUGGAAUGGCAUUUUUAACUCCCGAGCUAGAGUAUGUCAGAGGGGGGUAGAAUUCCACGUGUAGCAGUGAAAUGCGUAGAGAUGUGGAGGAAUACCGAUGGCGAAGGCAGCCCCCUGGGAUAAUACUGACGCUCAGGCACGAAAGCGUGGGGAGCAAACAGG
rnacentral:rRNA from 1 species